rnacentral:rRNA from 1 species
GGGUUGUGAGGUUAAGCGACUAAGCGUACACGGUGGAUGCCCUGGCAGUCAGAGGCGAUGAAGGACGUGCUAAUCUGCGAAAAGCGUCGGUAAGGUGAUAUGAACCGUUACAGCCGGCGAUGUCCGAAUGGGGAAACCCAGUGCAAUUCGUUGCACUAUCGUUAACUGAAUACAUAGGUUAACGAGGCGAACCGGGGGAACUGAAACAUCUAAGUACCCCGAGGAAAAGAAAUCAACCGAGAUUCCCCCAGUAGCGGCGAGCGAACGGGGAGCAGCCCAGAGUCUGAAUCAGCUUGUGUGUUAGUGGAACGGUCUGGAAAGUCCGACGGUACAGGGUGAUAGUCCCGUACACCAAAAUGCACAGGUUGUGAACUCGAAGAGUAGGGCGGGACACGUGGUAUCCUGUCUGAAUAUGGGGGGACCAUCCUCCAAGGCUAAAUACUCCUGACUGACCGAUAGUGAACCAGUACCGUGAGGGAAAGGCGAAAAGAACCCCGGCGAGGGGAGUGAAAAAGAACCUGAAACCGUGUACGUACAAGCAGUGGGAGCCUCUUUAUGGGGUGACUGCGUACCUUUUGUAUAAUGGGUCAGCGACUUAUAUUCUGUAGCAAGGUUAACCGUAUAGGGGAGCCGCAGGGAAACCGAGUCUUAACUGGGCGUUAAGUUGCAGGGUAUAGACCCGAAACCCGGUGAUCUAGCCAUGGGCAGGUUGAAGGUUGGGUAACACUAACUGGAGGACCGAACCGACUAAUGUUGAAAAAUUAGCGGAUGACUUGUGGCUGGGGGUGAAAGGCCAAUCAAACCGGGAGAUAGCUGGUUCUCCCCGAAAGCUAUUUAGGUAGCGCCUCGUGAACUCAUCUUCGGGGGUAGAGCACUGUUUCGGCUAGGGGGUCAUCCCGACUUACCAACCCGAUGCAAACUACGAAUACCGAAGAAUGUUAUCACGGGAGACACACGGCGGGUGCUAACGUCCGUCGUGAAGAGGGAAACAACCCAGACCGCCAGCUAAGGUCCCAAAGUCAUGGUUAAGUGGGAAACGAUGUGGGAAGGCACAGACAGCCAGGAUGUUGGCUUAGAAGCAGCCAUCAUUUAAAGAAAGCGUAAUAGCUCACUGGUCGAGUCGGCCUGCGCGGAAGAUGUAACGGGGCUAAACCAUGCACCGAAGCUGCGGCAGCGACGCUUAUGCGUUGUUGGGUAGGGGAGCGUUCUGUAAGCCUGCGAAGGUGACCUGUGAGGGUUGCUGGAGGUAUCAGAAGUGCGAAUGCUGACAUAAGUAACGAUAAAGCGGGUGAAAAGCCCGCUCGCCGGAAGACCAAGGGUUCCUGUCCAACGUUAAUCGGGGCAGGGUGAGUCGACCCCUAAGGCGAGGCCGAAAGGCGUAGUCGAUGGGAAACAGGUUAAUAUUCCUGUACUUGGUGUUACUGCGAAGGGGGGACGGAGAAGGCUAUGUUAGCCGGGCGACGGUUGUCCCGGUUUAAGCAUGUAGGCGGAGGUUCCAGGUAAAUCCGGUACCUUUUAACGCUGAGGUGUGAUGACGAGGCACUACGGUGCUGAAGUAACAAAUGCCCUGCUUCCAGGAAAAGCCUCUAAGCAUCAGGUAACAUUAAAUCGUACCCCAAACCGACACAGGUGGUCAGGUAGAGAAUACCAAGGCGCUUGAGAGAACUCGGGUGAAGGAACUAGGCAAAAUGGUGCCGUAACUUCGGGAGAAGGCACGCUGAUAUGUAGGUGAAGUCCCUGCGGAUGGAGCUGAAAUCAGUCGAAGAUACCAGCUGGCUGCAACUGUUUAUUAAAAACACAGCACUGUGCAAACACGAAAGUGGACGUAUACGGUGUGACGCCUGCCCGGUGCCGGAAGGUUAAUUGAUGGGGUUAUCCGUAAGGAGAAGCUCUUGAUCGAAGCCCCGGUAAACGGCGGCCGUAACUAUAACGGUCCUAAGGUAGCGAAAUUCCUUGUCGGGUAAGUUCCGACCUGCACGAAUGGCGUAAUGAUGGCCAGGCUGUCUCCACCCGAGACUCAGUGAAAUUGAACUCGCUGUGAAGAUGCAGUGUACCCGCGGCAAGACGGAAAGACCCCGUGAACCUUUACUAUAGCUUGACACUGAACAUUGAGCCUUGAUGUGUAGGAUAGGUGGGAGGCUUUGAAGCGUGGACGCCAGUCUGCGUGGAGCCAACCUUGAAAUACCACCCUUUAAUGUUUGAUGUUCUAACGUAGACCCCUAAUCGGGGUUGCGGACAGUGUCUGGUGGGUAGUUUGACUGGGGCGGUCUCCUCCCAAAGAGUAACGGAGGAGCACGAAGGUUAGCUAAUCCUGGUCGGACAUCAGGAGGUUAGUGCAAUGGCAUAAGCUAGCUUGACUGCGAGCGUGACGGCGCGAGCAGGUGCGAAAGCAGGUCAUAGUGAUCCGGUGGUUCUGAAUGGAAGGGCCAUCGCUCAACGGAUAAAAGGUACUCCGGGGAUAACAGGCUGAUACCGCCCAAGAGUUCAUAUCGACGGCGGUGUUUGGCACCUCGAUGUCGGCUCAUCACAUCCUGGGGCUGAAGUAGGUCCCAAGGGUAUGGCUGUUCGCCAUUUAAAGUGGUACGCGAGCUGGGUUUAGAACGUCGUGAGACAGUUCGGUCCCUAUCUGCCGUGGGCGCUGGAGAAUUGAGGGGGGCUGCUCCUAGUACGAGAGGACCGGAGUGGACGCAUCACUGGUGUUCGGGUUGUCAUGCCAAUGGCAUUGCCCGGUAGCUAAAUGCGGAAGAGAUAAGUGCUGAAAGCAUCUAAGCACGAAACUUGCCCCGAGAUGAGUUCUCCCUGAGACUUUAAGUCUCCUGAAGGAACGUUGAAGACGACGACGUUGAUAGGCCGGGUGUGUAAGCGCAGCGAUGCGUUGAGCUAACCGGUACUAAUGAACCGUGAGGCUUAACCUUACAACGCCGAAG